rfam:Vibrio anguillarum 775 chromosome I, complete sequence.
AGGGGUGUAGCUCCAACUGGCAGAGCAGCGGAUUCCAAAUCCGCGUGUUGGGAGUUCGAAUCUCUCCACCCCUG